rnacentral:rRNA from 1 species
UGGGGAAUAUUGCACAAUGGGCGCAAGCCUGAUGCAGCCAUGCCGCGUGUAUGAAGAAGGCCUUCGGGUUGUAAAGUACUUUCAGUCGGGAGGAAGGUGGUAAGGUUAAUAACCUUAUCAAUUGACGUUACCGACAGAAGAAGCACCGGCUAACUCCGUGCCAGCAGCCGCGGUAAUACGGAGGGUGCAAGCGUUAAUCGGAAUUACUGGGCGUAAAGCGCACGCAGGCGGUUGAUUGAGUCAGAUGUGAAAUCCCCGGGCUUAACCCGGGAAUUGCAUCUGAUACUGGUCAGCUAGAGUCUUGUAGAGGGGGGUAGAAUUCCAUGUGUAGCGGUGAAAUGCGUAGAGAUGUGGAGGAAUACCGGUGGCGAAGGCGGCCCCCUGGACAAAGACUUACGCUCAAGUGCGAAAGCGUGGGGAGCAAACAGG